GCCUGGGAACUCCCAUAUGCUGCAGGUGGCUCCCCCCCUCCUCAAAAAAAAGGGUAAAAAAAAGCAGCAGCUGUAUUUGGGGGUUCUGGGGACUUUCCUGGGGUUUCCAUCCUGAACAGUCUUAAGGAUUUGCCACUUCCCUCUAUAGAGGAGAACUCUGAAAUACUCCCCAGAAGAAAAAAUAUUAGAGCGUGUAGGUCAUCUAGGCUGCUAAGAACUAGCAGACUAUUCUGAACCCAAGACCUGGGCUUCAGAUAGCAGGGCCUGCAGUGUUCAUUAACUGUACAGGCCUCUCUCAGAGCAACUCUGGGAAAGAGGGGCCCCUUUGCAGGUACCACCUUCCAGGCUGUGAAUUCUGGUGUGGUGGUACCUCCUCAACUCCUGGGCGCACACUUCUAGUCUAUUUUCUCCACAGCAUGAAGAAAAACUUUUGCAUCACUGGCGGCUCUUCACGUCUUGGCACCGAUUGGGCCGUCAUUAUAUUUGCUCCUUUUGGAGCUGUUUAUUCCUGGAGUCAGGAACUGCCUCUGAGGAAAUGCCUUCAAAACCAAAACUAAACGAAACACCUACAGACACUGAGCUGAGAGAGACUCGGGUUACCUUUUUUUUUUUUUUUUUUUUUUUGCUGUGCUGGUGCCACAGCAGUGACAAUGCCAGAUCCUAAACCACUAGGCCACUAAGGAACUUCCAAGGGUUACCUUGGUUUUAAUAAUUAGCCACAAUUUUGUAUAAUUAUCUUAACUUCUAGACCUCAGGUUCCUUUAUCUACAAUAUAAAAGGACUUCUAGAGAUUCUAAAUAAUAAUUCCCAAGUUUCACGCUGGCUUUAAAAAAUUGCUGCCAUAAUUGUGUGGUGUUUCUCUGAUAAUGUAACUUUUUCUUAAUCAGAAACACAUGGGUGGUUUUACAACUCUUAAAGAGCUAGGGGCAUGGAGGCACCACAGAAACCUGAGUUCCUAUCUCAGCUCCUCCACUUACAGGCUGUGUGACCUUGGGCUAGUUACUUAAAUUCUCUGAGCCUCAUUUGUCUUAUCUGUGAAAUAACAAUAGUUUACUUUAUCUCAUAAGGUUGUGGUGAGGAUAAAAGUGAGAUAAAGGAAUACGUAUAUAUAUAUGGCACUUAGCAAAGUGUCUUGCUUCAGAAGAAGUGCCAAAGAUUCCUUCCCUUUUUUUUCCACCCAAGCGACCAUGUGUGGGAACACUAGCCAAAAGAUAACCUUUAUCAAUUGAAAAGUUUAAAUUGUUUGGCUGGCACUUCAGGGUGUUUCCCGUUUGCCUGCCUCCCACCUCGUCCCCAGCGUCGACAUCGGCCAGUUUGGCGGAUUUUGAGACCGUCUAGCUCGGCGAGUCUCCACCCAGGCCUGGGAUCCGCAGGAGAUCCCAGCGGGUAGAGACAUCACAAGCUACCGCAGAGAGGGGAAGAAAAGACUGACAGAUGGGCCCGGGAACGGACCGUUUGGGGCGGGCCGAGCCUGCAGUCUCGAGCUCCCUGCAAGGAGCUCCGUUUGCAAGGAGGUCAGAGGCGACAGGGCGAGGAAGAUGCUGAGCCAGCUUUGAGCAUGCAGACAAGGGUGAUGGCAACGGAGGUGGCAGAGAGAUAGUAAGAGAGGAGAAGCCUGGGUCCCUGGGCAGCCUUGUGGAGCGGAGCUGUCCUACCUUCUGCCCUCCAGCUUGGACUCCUCUGUGAGAGAGAAAUAAACCUUCCAUCUCGUUUGAAGUCA